AUACGGAGGGAGCAAGCGUUGUUCGGAAUCACUGGGCGUAAAGCGAGUGUAGGUUGUCAGGUAAGUAGGAUGUGAAAGCCCGGGGCUCAACCCCGGAAUUGCAUUCUAAACUGCCUGGCUAGAGUCCCGGAGAGGGAGGUGGAAUUCCGAGUGUAGAGGUGGAAUUCGUAGAUAUUCGGAGGAACACCAGAGGCGAAGGCGACCUCCUGGACGGUGACUGACACUGAGACUCGAAAGCGUGGGGAGCAAACAGGAUUAGAAACCCUAGUAGUAC
rnacentral:rRNA from 1 species